rnacentral:lncRNA from 1 species
UGUUGCUCUGUUGCCCAGGCUGGAGUGCAGUGGUGUGAUGUCGGCUCAUUACAACCUCUGCCUCCCAGGUUCAAGUGAUUCUCCUGCCUCAGUCUCCCGAAUAGCUGGGCAUUACAGCUGGCCGCCACCAUGCCCAGGCUGGAGUGCAAUGGUGCGAUCUUGGCUAACUGCAACAUCUGCCUCCCGGGUUCAGGCGAUUCUCCUGCCUCACCUCGCCCUGCUGAUUUUUAUUUUUUUGUAUUUUCAGUAG